UCUUAUAAUGUUAGAUUAGCCUUGUGAGUUGAAUUGUUUUUCGUUUAGAUAUGUUUAUAAUUGUGAUUGGCGAAUCACCUGUGUAUUGUGGUACAUGCGCAUGAGAGUAGUCUGAGAAGAGGGUGUGUGGAACUGAUGAAAUCCUGUCACAUGUUGUGUCAUUACAGACUCACUCAGUAAAACAAAGAUCCAAAGAG